AGGAAAGUAAAAAAGGGCGCAUGGCGGAUGCCUUGGCUCUCGGAGGCGAUGAAGGACGUGAUAAGCUGCGAUAAGCUUUGGGGAGGUGCAAAUGACCUUUGAUCCAGAGAUUUCCGAAUGGGACAACCCAAUAUCUUGAAGAGGUAUUAUCCAACGUUGUUGGAGGCUAACGCAGGGAACUGAAACAUCUUAGUACCUGCAGGAAAAGAAAAUAAACAAUGAUUCCCCCAGUAGUGGCGAGCGAACGGGGAACAGCCCAAACCAUCCAUGUUACGGCAUGGGUGGGGUUGUAGGACUACGCCGUUGCAUGAAGACAUCAGAGAAGAACUUUCUGGAAAGAAAGACCAUAGAGCAUGACAGUUGCGUAUUCGAAUGUUGUCGAAGCAUAGUAGUAUCCUGAGUAGCGCGGAGCACGAGGAAUUCUGCGUGAAUCUGCCGGGACCAUCCGGUAAGGCUAAAUACUCCCGAGAGACCGAUAGCGAACCAGUACCGUGAGGGAAAGGUGAAAAGCACUUCGAACAGAAGAGUGAAAUAGUUCCUGAAACCGUGCGCCUACAAGCGGUCGGAGCUCGUUAAUGAGUGACGGCGUGCCUUUUGCAUAAUGAACCUACGAGUUGCCUUUGCCGGCAAGGUUAAGUGUGACGACACACGUAUCCGAAGCGAAAGCGAGUCUGAACAGGGCGUAUAGUCGGCAGUGGCAGACGCGAAACCAAGUGAUCUACCCUUGGCCAGGUUGAAGGCUGGGUAACACCAGCUGGAGGACCGCACCAAUAAGCGUUGAAAAGCUUCUGGAUGAGCUGAGGGUAGGGGUGAAAGGCUAAUCAAACUUGGAGAUAGCUCGUACUCCCCGAAAUGCAUUUAGGUG
rnacentral:rRNA from 1 species